rnacentral:rRNA from 1 species
GGAAGGUCCGGGCGUUAUCCGGAUUUAUUGGGUUUAAAGGGAGCGUAGGCCGGAGAUUAAGCGUGUUGUGAAAUGUAGACGCUCAACGUCUGCACUGCAGCGCGAACUGGUUUCCUUGAGUACGCACAAAGUGGGCGGAAUUCAUGGUGUAGCGGUGAAAUGCUCAGAUAUCAUGAAGAACUCCGAUCGCGAAGGCAGGCAUCCGGGGUGCAACUGACGCUGAGGCUCGAAAGUGCGGGUAUCAAACAGGAUUAGAUACCCUGGUAGUCCGCACAGUAAACGAUGAAUACUCGCGGUUUGCGAUACAAUGUAAGCCGCCAAGCGAAAGCGUUAAGUAUCCCACCUGGGGAGU